GACGAACGCUGGCGGCAGGCCUAACACAUGCAAGUCGAACGAAGUCUUCGGACUUAGUGGCGGACGGGUGAGUAACACGUGGGAACGUGCCUUUAGGUUCGGAAUAACUCAGGGAAACUUGUGCUAAUACCGAAUGUGCCCUUCGGGGGAAAGAUUUAUCGCCUUUAGAGCGGCCCGCGUCUGAUUAGCUAGUUGGGGAGGGAAAGGCUCACCAAGGCUACGAUCAGUAGCUGGUCUGAGGGGAUGACCAGUCACAUUGGGACUGAGACACGGCCCGAACUCCUACGGGAGGCGGCAGUGGGGAAUCUUGCGCAAUGGGCGAAAGCCUGACUCAGCCAUGCCGCGUGGAUGAUGAAGGUCUUAGGAUUGUAAAAUCCUUUCACCGGUGAAGAUAAUGACUGUAGCCGGAGAAGAAGCCCCGGCUAACUUCGUGCCAGCAGCCGCCGUAAAAC
rnacentral:rRNA from 1 species